UGGGGAAUAUUGCACAAUGGGCGCAAGCCUGAUGCAGCCAUGCCGCGUGUGUGAAGAAGGCCUUCGGGUUGUAAAGCACUUUCAGCGAGGAGGAAGGUGGUGAGCUUAAUACGCUCAUCAAUUGACGUUACUCGCAGAAGAAGCACCGGCUAACUCCGUGCCAGCAGCCGCGGUAAUACGGAGGGUGCAAGCGUUAAUCGGAAUUACUGGGCGUAAAAGCGCACGCAGGCGGUUUGUUAAGUCAGAUGUGAAAAUCCCCGGGCUCAACCUGGGAACUGCAUUUGAAAACUGGCAAGCUAGAGUCUCGUAGAGGGGGGUAGAAAUUCCAGGUGUAGCGGUGAAAUGCGUAGAGAUCUGGAGGAAUACCGGUGGCGAAGGCGGCCCCCUGGACGAAGACUGACGCUCAGGUGCGAAAAGCGUGGGGAGCAAAACAGGAUUAGAUACCCUGGUAGUCCACGCUGUAAAACGAUGUCGAUUUUGGAGGUUGUGCCCCUUGAGGCGUGG
rnacentral:rRNA from 1 species